ensembl:lncRNA PCDHB1-AS1 PCDHB1 antisense RNA 1
AGUCCAGCGACUGGAGAGCGAACAGGUGGCCGUUGUCCGCGUUGAUGGAGACCAGGGAGGCGAGGGGCAGCCUGGGUGUCCCGAAGUCGGUGACGGUGAUGGUGAUGUUGUAUUCGGAUCUGGUCUCCCGGUCCAGGGCCGUGCUUAUCACCAGAGUGUAAAAGUUCUCAACAGAAGGUUUCAAGAAAAAAGGAAGAUCAUCUUGGAUGGAGCACACCAUCCUUCCGUUGUCUCCGGAGUCAGGAUCUGAAACGCUGAAUACAGCAAUGAGGGUGUCCUGCAAGUUUUCUGGGAUCUGAUUGAUAAGUGUCGACAUAGUUAGUUCCGGAGGAUUGUCAUUCAAAUCCAUCACUUGGACAAAUACCACACAAGUUCCAGAUAGGCCCCCACCAUCUGUCGCCUGAAUAUUUACUGUGUAUGUCUGGAUGGAUUCGAAAUCCAGUUUCUGUCUUAAAAGCAGUUCUCCCGAUUUUGCACUUAAUCGAAACGUUUUGCGAAUGUCUUCAGAUGCUUGGGAAAAUGCAUAAGAUAUUUCUCCAUUAGUUCCAAUGUCUAAAUCCCUGGCAGAGACGAUG